CCUACGGGGUGCAGCAGUCGAGAAUCAUUCACAAUGGGGGAAACCCUGAUGGUGCGACGCCGCGUGGGGGAAUGAAGGUCUUCGGAUUGUAAACCCCUGUCAUGUGGGAGCAAAUUAAAAAGAUAGUACCACAAGAGGAAGAGACGGCUAACUCUGUGCCAGCAGCCGCGGUAAUACAGAGGUCUCAAGCGUUGUUCGGAAUCACUGGGCGUAAAGCGUGCGUAGGCAGUUUCGUAAGUCGUGUGUGAAAGGCGCGGGCUCAACCCGCGGACGGCACAUGAUACUGCGAGACUAGAGUAAGGGAGAGGGAACCGGAAUUCUCGGUGUAGCAGUGAAAUGCGUAGAUAUCGAGAGGAACACUCGUGGCGAAGGCGGGUUCCUGGACAUUAACUGACGCUGAGGCACGAAGGCCAGGGGAGCGAAAGGGAUUAGAUACCCGAGUAGUC
rnacentral:rRNA from 1 species